CACACACAUAUAUAUCGAUGUAAUCUGAAUAGGUGCACUGUGUACCACAUGUCAGAUGUUAAAGUGAUUGCAAAGCAAUGUGAGAGGAAGUGUUUUGCUCAAGAACACACUGCACCACCUGGUGUAGGAAUUGAAAUCAUGA